GCAAGCCUGAUCCAGCCAUGCCGCGUGUGUGAAGAAGGCCUUCGGGUUGUAAAGCCCUUUUGUUGGGAAAGAAGGGCAGSCGGUUAAUACCUGGUUGUUAUGACGGUACCCAAAGAAUAAGCACCGGCUAACUUCGUGCCAGCAGCCGCGGUAAUACGAAGGGUGCAAGCGUUACUCGGAAUUACUGGGCGUAAAGCGUGCGUAGGUGGUCGUUUAAGUCGGUUGUGAAAUCCCUGGGCUCAACCUGGGAACUGCAGUGGAAACUGGACAACUAGAGUGUGGUAGAGGGUAGCGGAAUUCCUGGUGUAGCAGUGAAAUGCGUAGAGAUCRGGAGGAACAUCCAUGGCGAAGGCAGCUACC
rnacentral:rRNA from 1 species